GGAGGGGUCGCAUAGUGGUUUAGUGCACCACCUUGGAAAGGUGGCAUACCUUUAUCGGUAUCGGGAGUUCGAAUCUCCCCCCCUCCG
rnacentral:tRNA from 1 species